rnacentral:lncRNA from 10 species
CCACCAUACAGGGGAACACUCGGCAGAGCCAGAGGCCUGGGCCCAAGUCCUGCCACCAGCUGGCUGUGAAACUGUGGUACAGCACCUUGUGUCCUGCCACCAGCCGGCUGUGAAACUGGUACAGCACCUUGUCCUCAGGUCCUUGGUUUCCUCACUUGUAAAUUCAUGGUUCUCCAUGGCAUCUCUGGUCUUCAACAUUAUUUUGCAUAGAGUCUCAGAAGCUUUAGUGUGAGCGGAUGAUAUGGGCACGAAGCAAGGCACCCAGAAGUGGGGGCAACUACUCUGCUUUCUAAAAUGCAAGGGAACCGGAAAAUCCAGGAGCCGUGCCAAAGUGAUGAGAAGAGGAACAAAUGGAGGAACAUCCCAGUCAAGUGACAUUCCUAGUGACAUUCACCAGAACAGAGUCAAGCUUUGGAUCCCAUGUUCUGUGACUUCCUCUUCACCACGCUUCCUCCACACACGUAGCAGCUCAAGGGUUUCUGAUGAGUGGGAGGCUUGACUAGAAUUGAAUUCGAGACAAGCACAAAGAUCAUGAUGCAAAUGAAAGGGACAGAGGGGAGAGAAACAGAAAACAACCUUUUGUUCCAGGGAACACGAUCCUAGACAGCAAGAUAAGAAGAUCAGGAGGGAGAGGACGACAGCUUGCCUAUUUUAAACAGCACGGCCAUUGUAAACCUCAUUGGGAAGAUAACGUUUGGGAAAAGCUUGAAGUCAUGAGAAAAAUUUUAAAUUGAUAAAAACAUAAUUUAAAUGUUUCUGUUGCUUUUGUCUUUGGUUGCUUAUGGUGAAAAACCAAGGCAAAUGUCUCUUUUAUCAGGAAAAUACAUUAAUGGGCUUAAAACAUAAUGUGAAUGAAGAGAUUGAAGCCUAGCAAGGUAUAUGGCUCAGCACAAAAGAAGGAGAAUUCUGUGAUUCCCCUCUGGCAGCCCUAAAGAGAAGGGGCUGGGGCCUCCAGAGGGAAGAAGGUAUAGGGCAACAGUACUUGAGAGAGGUGAGGACCCCAGCAAUCUGAUAAGAGGCCUGGACCCAGUGCCAAGAAAUUGGCAAUGAUUUCUAGGAACUAGAGGUCUGAUAUUCUAUUUCGAGUUUCUCCCUGUACUCAUGCAUUGGCCAUCAUGCAUAAUGCCACAUCAUCUUGGGGAAUCUGGUGGGAAGAGAGGUGCUUUGUUUGCACCAGGUUAUUAUGAAGAGAGGGCAGAGGCCUAAGGCUCUCCAGCACCAAGCUGGAGUCAGGUGUUGUAGCAAGAGGCAACGCAAAAAACUGCCUGGACCAGACCCUCCCUGGAUGGUUAAUAUUGGGACUGCUGGUCUCUGUGCCGUCCUGUGAGAUUAUAGCGUGCAUAUAUUUAAUUGACUAUUAAAGGAAGAGGAGCGCCAUAUGGCUGUAAAACCUGGGGAGAUUUAGGUUACAAAAGAAGCAUGCUCAUUUAGAAAUCUUACACAUUCAGAGGUAUUAUCCAUCUCUAGCAAUAGCAGAGUGAAAUAAACAUAUUUAAGUAAUGGCAACAGCAACAAGG